UACAGAGGUCUCAAGCGUUGUUCGGAUUCAUUGGGCGUAAAGGGUGCGUAGGCGGCGCGGUAAGUCGGGUGUGAAAUCUCGGGGCUUAACUCCGAAACUGCAUUCGAUACUGCCGUGCUUGAGGACUGGAGAGGAGACUGGAAUUUACGGUGUAGCAGUGAAAUGCGUAGAGAUCGUAAGGAAGACCAGUGGCGAAGGCGGGUCUCUGGACAGUUCCUGACACUGAGGCACGAAGGCCAGGAGAGCAAACGGG
rnacentral:rRNA from 1 species